ensembl:miRNA gmo-mir-20a-1 gmo-mir-20a-1
UAAAGUGCUUAUAGUGCAGGUAGUGUUGUCCGUAUCUACUGCAGCGUGAGCACUUCAAGU